CCUGGGAUGUGCUGCAGAGAAUCCACGAGUGGGCUGUCACACGCUGCAGUGUAGGAUCUCAAGAUGAGGAAAUCCCUGCAGGAUAGCUCUGACCUGGGUCUCCUCCCUGUGCCGCCUCUUGUCUGAGCUGAGGCAUCCUCCCACAUGGAGAAAGGAGCUGCGCAGGAUGCACAAUCACUGUGAUCCUUUGAGAUCCUACAUGUGUUUGUGACCAUUCCUGAGCCCCAAGCUGGAACUUCUAAAGCACUACCAGCAGCAACCCCAAGCAAAAUAAUGGAUGACUGUGAGCCGCAGGAAGCACCGUGUGCUCACAGAGUGGAGAACUGCAAGUGCAGGAAGAGCCCCCGCGUGCAGGAGAGAACAAAGCCCGAGGAUUCCCGAGGUCUCCAUUGAUGCAGAAGGCACCGAGCGGAGCGUGAAAGAGAUAACAGAGACGCAGCAAGAUCCUCCUCCAUCCCUCCCCCUCCCUCGCCCUCCGAUUCAAGGAGCAGAGGCUGGUUUGUGAAUGAGGAGCCGGAGCUCGUUCAGACGGAACAAAUACCAAUAAAGGAGCACAAUAGCAGCUGCUCCCGAGCCGGAGCCGGCAAGGAAAAGGUAGCAGUUCUCAAGAGGGGCUUAUUUCCCGAGGAGUCAUUGGUGUGUGACAGAUGGAAGGAACCAAUAAA